GUGUGAAUUUUUUAUUUAAGAAGUAGCUAAAAUGUUUUCUUGCAGAGUUAUGACUGAUCAGACUCAGAGCAGAUGGGCAGGGCAGUAUUGAGUCACUUUAAUUAAAUUGUAGCUUCAUUUGCGGAGGUGGUGGUAGGUUGUUGUCUGCCUUUCUUAUAUGUUGUUUUAUAGAUUCUCCCAGUUGUACUUCUCCCAAGAUUUUAGUUUUUAGAGAAAGUGUGGGGCAAGAACUAAUGGAUUGUGUACUUACUUGUCUAUCUGCCUAGUUUUUAUUUCUCUAGGUUCUCUUAUCAGAUAUACUUACAUGAUUACUGAUGUUUGAGUUUAGAAUAUUAGCUCUUUAAGAAGUUUGUUGUUGUGAUGCAGUUUUAAUCUUCCAACUACAUCUCAGUUUUAUUUGUAAUUUAAAAAAACCUUAUUUUUAUUCAUUACAAAUAGAAACCUUUAGUUUGUCAGGAGAAUGAGCAUUUAUGUGCAGCAAUGUAAAUGGACUGUUUUUAAAUGGUCCAUUUAUAGGAAAAGUGUUGAAAUAAGAGGCAAGUAAGAAGUCAGGGAAUAAAAAAUAGUUUGCUGAGCUUGUAAUGCUUUGUUUGACAUUAAAAUAGUUUUUGAAGUUUUGAGGUCCUGAUACUAACAGUGCAAAUCUAGAGGCCUUUGAGAGCACUACUUAUUUAUUCCCACUUAACUCUAGUGGCUAGUUCACAUUAAAAUUCACAGCUGUGAGAAGUUUGUGUGCUUUUAUGAAUUACCUUGCUUCAAUUAAAUUAAGCAAGAGUUUUAAUAUUUAUUAUGAUCAUGUUUUGUUGUCACUAUUUGGCUAUUUUGGCAUCUUUUUAAAGGGGAAACUGUAUGGGAAAGAGUAAUAUGAUACUGUAUUUUAUCUUGUUGUUGAUUAUUCCCAUUAUCUUCUAUCCGAACCGAUAAUUUAUGAAUUUUUUCAUUGACAAGGUUUUAAGAGCUUUUAAAAUGUGUUGAAAAAGUCCCAAGCUGUUAAGUAUUUUUAUUUUCAUACUGCUUUUAUGACUAUGGAAUUGCUAAACUGAAUUAAGGAAAGUUGUAUUUCAAAAAAUGUAGUACAUGCUUUGUAACAAUUUAAAGUUUUAUGUGAAUUAAUACUGAGGCUCUAAACAAAUAACUGUAGUUACAUAUCUUGAUGACCCUUGAUAUGAUUGUUUCAGACUAAUUGUCAACUUUUGAAAUAUUGGACUUUGCUUUUAUAUUGAGGUUUUGAUUCAAAUAAGUCUGUUUUUUUUUUCUUUUUUAAAUUUGGGACUUUAUUUUCUAAUCCUUUUGUUAAAAUGCUGAAACACUAGGCUGAAUAUCCCAGCCUUUUUGAAUUUUCUUAAUUCAAAGGCGGUUUAACCUUCCACCACUACUGCUAUCAUCCAAACCCAAGAAUUCUUGAUAUUUUUAUGUUUACAUAUGCUUCUGCUCACCGGUGCUAAUAGUGAUACCCACCAGUUGGUAAUAGCCACAGUAUUAGGGAAAAAAUUCUGAUAGAAACAUGGCAGUAGACUGGUUUCAAAGUUGUUGUUAGCUCUGCAGUGGGCAAGCAUAGCUUCCUAACUUUCACAGCCAUUCAGUAGAUUUAGUGGAUGCCCUUUUGAAAAAUUACAGUUAGCUAAAAGGCAAUUGACACCAUUAUUCUGGUUAUUGGUAGAGCUAUCAGCACUGGUUUUUUUAAAUAAGUUGAGCUUUUUAGUAUCCUGAUGGCCUUCAGAAUAGCUGUUUUGAUGCCUACUUUUAGAUCUAGUUAAAAUAAUCAGGUACUCUGUAGCUUUGAAACCCUCUUGUCUUACAGAUGUGGUUAGGUGUUGAUGUACCAAAUCAAGGUAGUAAACAAUCCAAGAUGCAGUUGGAGGCCAUCCUGCCCUGCCCUAUGCUCUGUGAACUGACCUAGCUAGGCCUUGUUCCUCUAUCUGUGAAUGCGUGACUCAUCGAUAUGGGCGUUUGUGUUGGGCCCAUACCAACCUUGUUUAGUCCCACAGUGUUUUGUUCGCCCCACGGAGGCCAAGAAAGCCGCAGAUGAGGCCAAGAUGAGAUUUGCCCACAUAGAUGGAGAUCAUCUGACACUGCUGAACGUCUACCAUGCUUUUAAACAAAAUCAUGAAUCGGUUCAGUGGUGUUAUGACAACUUCAUUAACUACAGGUCCCUGAUGUCCGCAGACAAUGUACGCCAGCAGCUAUCUCGAAUUAUGGACAGAUUUAAUUUGCCUCGUCGAAGUACUGACUUUACAAGCAGGGACUAUUAUAUUAAUAUAAGAAAAGCUUUGGUUACUGGGUAUUUUAUGCAGGUGGCACAUUUAGAACGAACAGGGCAUUACUUAACUGUGAAAGAUAACCAGGUGGUUCAGUUGCAUCCCUCUACUGUUCUUGACCACAAACCUGAAUGGGUGCUUUAUAAUGAGUUUGUUCUAACAACAAAGAAUUACAUCCGGACAUGUACAGAUAUCAAGCCAGAAUGGUUGGUGAAAAUUGCCCCUCAAUAUUAUGACAUGAGCAAUUUCCCACAGUGUGAAGCAAAGAGACAGUUGGACCGCAUCAUUGCCAAACUUCAAUCCAAGGAAUAUUCACAGUACUGAAUUCAGUGCUUAGAACUGAAGUUAUUGAGAGGACAGCUUUAAAAGAUGAAUGAACUCAAAAGUUCGAGUUGUGCUCUUCACGUUGGUUCGAUAAUGGCCUUUAUUUGAAAGCUUUUUAAUUUUUCUUUACAGUAAAUAUUCCAUUCUGAUUUCAUAAAUUAAACAUUUAUGCCUCCCUUUUGUGUUGACACUGUAGCUCAUACUGGAAAAGUCGAUCAAUGUUUUGCAGUUUAUUGAAAGUAGUUCUAUAUAUAACAAUGUUAUAAGCAUUUCUUUAGAAAUGGUUGAAAAUGCUUCUAAAAUGUGAUUAUCGACCAUGGUAUGCAUGAUCGUUGUAAUUGUUGACAUUCCUUUUAGAAGUUGUGAAAUGUUACAACUUGUGCUUAUGUAGACACAAUCUUCUGUCUCAGUACAGAGGCACUGACUUCAAUAAAGUCUAUUUAUACUAA
rnacentral:sRNA from 1 species